UACGGGGGGGGCAAGCGUUGUUCGGAAUUACUGGGCGUAAAGCGCGUGUAGGCGGCCCUGUAAGUCGGAUGUGAAAUCCCACGGCUCAACCGUGGAAGUGCAUUCGAAACUACAGGGCUAGAGUCCUGGAGAGGAAGGUGGAAUGCUUGGUGUAGAGGUGAAAUUCGUAGAUAUCAAGCGGAACACCGGUGGCGAAGGCGGCCUUCUGGACAGUGACUGACGCUGAGACGCGAAAGCGUGGGGAGCAAACAGG
rnacentral:rRNA from 1 species